GGGGGGAGAACAACAGGGAUUGCCUCAGUAACGGCGAGUGAAGCGGCAACAGCUCAAAUUUGAAAUCUGGCUCCUUCGGGGCCCGAGUUGUAAUUUGCAGAGGAUGCGUCGGGUACGGGUGCCUUCCGAGUUCCCUGGAACGGGACGCCAUAGAGGGUGAGAGCCCCGUCUGGUAGGAUACCCAGCCCGUGUGACGCUCCCUCGACGAGUCGAGUAGUUUGGGAAUGCUGCUCUAACGGGAGGUAUACUCCUUCCAAGGCUAAAUACCGGCUGGAGACCGAUAGCGCACAAGUAGAGUGAUCGAAAGAUGAAAAGCACUUUGAAAAGAGAGUCAAACAGCACGUGAAAUUGUUAAAAGGGAAGCGCUCGCUACCAGACUUGGGUUCGGCGGUUCAACCGGGGCCACGCCCCGGGGCAUUCCGCCGGCCCAGGCCAGCAUCAGCUUUCCGUCGGGGGUAAAGGCGUCGGGAAUGUGGCUCCCCUUCGGGGGAGUGUUAUAGCCCGUCGUGUCAUACCCUUCGGGGGGCUGAGGUACGCGCUUCUGCAAGGAUGCUGGCGUAAUGGUAGCUAGUGACCCGUCUUGAAACACGGACCAAGGAGUCAACCUUAUGUGCGAGUGCCCGGGCGUAAAACCCCAGCGCGGAAUGAAAGUGAACGUAGGUGAGAGCUUCGGCGCAUCACCGACCGAUCCUGAUGUCCUCGGACGGAUUUGAGUGAGAGCAUAUAGGGUUGGACCCGAAAGAAGAUGAACUAUGCGUGUGUAGGGUGAAGCCAGAGGAACUCUGGUGGAGGCUCGCAGCGGUUCUGACGUGCAAAUCGAUCGUCAAACAUGCGCAUGGGGGCGAAAGACUAAUCGAAUCUUCUGGUAGCUGGUUUCCGCGAGCUCUCUCCCCGGCGAGAGAGUAA
rnacentral:rRNA from 1 species